AACAACUAAACUAACUAGGCCCAGUCGUAGAUUCGGCAAUGUGUGAAUCAUUGCUAGCCAGUAAGGACAUGGAGCAAAUAUUUUUUUACACAUUUGUUUUCAGGGACAGAAGAAAACAGUCCUGCCAGACUUGUUUGGAGGAUCGCUAAAGCAGGACCCGAACCUAUAUCGCCGGCUGGGAACCAGACAAGGUCUCCUGGUCAAAACUAAGAGGACCUGAGCCCUAGGACCAUGCCUCAGAACUACCUGGCAUGAUGACUCCUUGCUGUCUCCAGUCCACCUGGCCGUGCUGCUGCUUCAGUUUCAACCUUUCUGCCUGCGGUUAUGGAACCCUGACCUGUUCACCGGACAUGCUACCUGUCCCAGGCCUGCUGUUUUCAACUCUCUAGAGACAGCAGGAGCGGUAGAGAUAUGAAAAGCGAACUGACAUUUACUCCUGAGGUGCUGACUUGUUGCAGCCUCGACAACUACUUGUCAUUAUUAUUAUUUGACCAUGCUGGACAUUUAUGAACAUUUGAACAUCUUGGCCAUGUUCUGUUGUAAUCUCCACCCGGCACAGCCAGAAGAGGACUGGCCACCCCUCAUAGCCUGGUUCCUCUCUAGGUUUCUUCCUCGGUUUUGGCCUUUCUAGGGAGUUUUUCCUAGCCACCGUGCUUCUACACCUGCAUUGCUUGCUGUUUGGGGUUUUAGGCUGGGUUUCUGUACAGCACUUUGAUAUA